rnacentral:rRNA from 1 species
UACGUAGGUGGCAAGCGUUGUCCGGAAUUAUUGGGCGUAAAGCGCGCGCAGGCGGUCCUUUAAGUCUGAUGUGAAAGCCCACGGCUCAACCGUGGAGGGUCAUUGGAAACUGGGGGACUUGAGUACAGAAGAGAAGAGUGGAAUUCCACGUGUAGCGGUGAAAUGCGUAGAGAUGUGGAGGAACACCAGUGGCGAAGGCGGCCCUCUGGUCCAGUACUGACACUCAAGUGCGAAAGCGUGGGGAGCAAACAGG